AGUUCGAUCAUGGCUCAGAUUGAACGCUGGCGGGAUUUUUACAUGCAAGUCGAACGCUGGCACGGACUUCGGUCUGGUGGCGAGUGGCAGACGGGUGAGUAAUGUAUCGGAACGUGCCUAGUAGCGGGGGAUAACUACGCGAAAGCGUAGCUAAUACCGCAUACGCCCUUCGGGGAAAGCGGGGGACCUUCGGGCCUCACUAUUAAACGGCCGAUAUCGGAUUAGCUAGUUGGUGGGGUAACGGCUCACCAAGGCGACGAUCCGUAGCUGGUUUGAGGACGACCAGCCACACUGGGACUGAGACACGGCCCAGACUCCUACGGGAGGCAGCAGUGGGGGAAUUUUGGACAAUGGGGAAACCCUGAUCCAGCCAUCCCGCGUGUGCGAUGAAGGCCUUCGGGUUGUAAGCACUUUUGGCAGGAAAAGAAACGGCACGGGAUAUUACCCGCGUGCAACUGACAGUACCUGCAGAAUAAGCACCCUGGCGGCUUGCUACGUGCCAGCAACCGCGGUAAUACGUAGGGUGCAAGCGUUAAUCGGAAUUACUGGGCGUAAAGCGUGCGCAGGCGGUUCGGAAAGAAAGAUGUGAAAUCCCAGAGCAACUUUUUUUUUCGGAGACUGCAUUUUUAACUACCGAGCUAGAGUGUGUCAGAGGAGGUGGAAUUCCGCGAUGGCAGUGAAAUGCGUAGAUAUGCGGAGGAACACCGAUGGCGAAGGCAGCCUCCUGGGAUAACACUGACGCUCAUGCACGAAAGCGUGGGAGCAAACAGGAUUAGAUACCCUGGUAGUCCCGCCUAAACGAUGUCAACUAGCUGUUGAGGCCUUCGGAGCAGCGGUAGCGCAACUAACGCGUGAAGUUGACCGCCUGGGAAAUUACGGUCGCAAGAUUAAAACUCAAAGGAAUUGACGGGGACCCGCACAAGCGGUGGAUGAUGUGGAUUAAUUCGAUGCAACGCGAAAAACCUUACCUACCCUUGACAUGUCUGGAAUCCCGAAGAGAUUUGGGAAUUUUCGCAAGAGAACCGGAACACAGGUGCUGCAUGGCUGUCGUCAGCUCGUGUCGUGAGAUGUUAGGUUAAGGUCCACAGCGAAAACAGCCAUGCUGUCAUUGGUUUAACACGAAAGGGCGCUCUGUCGGAGACUGCCGGUAAACCGGAGGAAGAUUGAGGAUGACGUCAAGUCAUCAUGGCCCCUUAUGGGUAGGGCUUCACGUCAUGCAAUAAUGGUCCGGGAUGAAGGUCGCCAGCCCGCGAGGGCCGUCAGAAGCCCCCGUCCGUAAGUCCCCGGAUCGCGGUCUGCAGCUCGACUGCGUGGUCAGAUCCUUCGUAAUGCGGGUCAUGUCGCGGUGAAUACGUUCCCAGGUCUUGUACACACCGCCCGUCACACCGUAAGAUCAGGUUUUACCAGAAGUAGUUAGCUAACCGUAAGGAGGGCGUUACGGUAGGAUUCAUGACUGGGGUGAAGUCGUGACUUUUCUAAGAUG
rnacentral:rRNA from 1 species